rnacentral:rRNA from 1 species
UUCUCUCAGGUCUGGAAGGCCAGGAUCCCUCCUAAAGUUAAGAUUUUCUUAUGGCAAGCUUUUAGGGGCCGGCUGCCUUCGGCUGACCAAAUUCGUAAGAGAAAUGGUCCUGGUUCACAGUUAUGUGCCUUAUGUGGUGGCUUGGAGGAUACGGCUCAUAUCUUCUUCCAUUGUGUCCUGGCUAAGUUGAUCUGGAGUUGCGUGAGAGAGUGGCUUCAUGUAGCCUCGGACCCUGCUUCGUUCUCUGAGCUCCGGGCUCUUGCUAAUAACCUGUCGGGUGUUACCAAACGUAUCUUUUGGGUGGGCUUGGGAGCACUAUGUUGGUCUCUCUGGACGACUAGGAACAAAUUUACUAUUGAACAUGUGUUUCCGGCUAAACCUGCUGAUUGCUUAUUUAAAUCGUGUGCUCUCUUGAAGCAGUGGAAAUCAUUGACUAAGGAGGAAGACCAAGAUGCAUUGUCUGCGCUGAUCUCUAAAGUUCGGGCCUCGACGUCUAUUCUAUGCAGACAAGAGCAGGUUGCUUAG